AAAGUUUGACAGACAAUCGCUGGCGGCUGAGAAGCCGCGAGAGGAAAGUCCGGGCUCCAUAGGGCAGAGAUGCUGGAUAACGUCCAGUCGGCGCGAGCCGAAGGAUAGUGCCACAGAAACGGACCGCCGAUGGCCGGCUUUACCGCCGGCACAGGCAAGGGUGGAACCGUGGUGUAAGAGACCACGAGGACCGUUGGUGACAACGGUGCUGGUAAACCCCAUCUGGAGCAAGACCGAGAGAACGCAGCAGCCGGCUAAUGGAAGCAUUGGCAUGCGCUGCACCCCUGCCCGGGUGCGUUCGGGUUGGUCGCUUGAGCCGGUCAGCAAUGAUCGGCCUAGAUAGAUGAUUGUCGCUUCGAAGUGGGAGGGUCGUUCCCGUUCAGACCACAUGAAGUACAGAACCCGGCUUACGGCAAGCUUUCCGC
rnacentral:RNase_P_RNA from 1 species